rnacentral:rRNA from 1 species
GAUGAACGCUGGCGGCGUGCCUAAUACAUGCAAGUCGAGCGAACAGACGAGGAGCUUGCUCCUCUGACGUUAGCGGCGGACGGGUGAGUAACACGUGGAUAACCUACCUAUAAGACUGGGAUAACUUCGGGAAACCGGAGCUAAUACCGGAUAACAUGUUGAACCGCAUGGUUCAACAGUGAAAGACGGUUUUGCUGUCACUUAUAGAUGGAUCCGCGUCGCAUUAGCUAGUUGGUAAGGUAACGGCUUACCAAGGCAACGAUGCGUAGCCGACCUGAGAGGGUGAUCGGUCACACUGGAACUGAGACACGGUCCAGACUCCUACGGGAGGCAGCAGUAGGGAAUCUUCCGCAAUGGGCGAAAGCCUGACGGAGCAACGCCGCGUGAGUGAAGAAGGUCUUCGGAUCGUAAAACUCUGUUAUUAGGGAAGAACAAAUGUGUAAGUAACUAUGCACGUCUUGACGGUACCUAAUCAGAAAGCCACGGCUAACUACGUG